CCAUGAGCCACGCCUCUGCCCGUAAUCUAAAACAAGCACCCAGUCACCGCGUCCCCAUUGAUCCCGAUCUGGGUAAACAAUACUUGACCUAACUCUCCUCAAUCUUCUCCCAUCCAUGCACCACACGUCUGCAGCUAGCAGUGACCUCCGUCGCUGCCGGACCAGGAGCAGUCCAAUUAUGGGGGGUGGGGAAGGCCACACUCAGCAAGCCCAAUCCCACACCGGCGAAGAAGGAGCAGGCGUCCAGUCCGGUGGCCGCGGCUGAGAAGGCAACGGCCAGCAAGGGGAAGCGCGACAAUGAAGUGAAUGCCCAGAUUACCGGAAGGAAUCGAUGAGCUUCCCAAAUUUCUGCUGGGAUUCACAGCCACCUACUGUCCCGUGUGUCUACUGUCGCCUCUCCUUCCUAGGAGGCUGUUUGCUUGCAUCAACUGUACGCAUACAUAUCUCUCACAUCUACAAUUUUCUACAUGGCCUCCCACCAAGUAAGUGUCGGACGCGCAGAGCAGCUUAGGAUAAAACUAAAUUGCCUGAUUGGAUCAUGAUGACUUACAUGAUCACAUCACACACUAUAUGGAUAAAAUGAGCAUCGAGUGGUCAGGGUCAGAGUAGCGGCGCUGGUCAAAUUAGGCGCUUGAGCAGCUUGGCGAGCUCCAUGUUAAUUUAUCUCUUUCUUUCCCUGUGAAAAAAAUCUUCAACAUGAAGCAAUCGUUCUCUAUGGAAUCUCCGCUGCCUCUCUCUCUGUUCCCUGGAAGAAAUCCAUUGAUCUCCAACAAAGUGAAGCGAACAAGUCGGGCAUGGAUUCCGAUGCUCUCAAACUUAAUCUGAACCAAGGAGGUGAGUUGACAGAUCCGCUAUGCUCACAAAGCUCUUCUCACAUUUUUUGAAUAUUUUCUCAUGACGGUCUAUACUUGAAUUGGUCGCCUUCCGUUGAUGUGGACCUAAAUAUUUCUAUCAUGCCGUCUAAUAUUGUUGUGCUCUCCAAGGAUUCAACUCGAUCGGAAUCUUUUCACAUACGAUCUUCAGUGGACAAGAGAUUGUGUGUCGUGGAGUAGACUGAUCGAGAAUUCUUCAGGUUAAUGAUCUUUCUCAUGGGGAGAGGUAGAGACCAUGUAGUAGUACAUACACUGAGAUAGGAUUCUUGGGCUUUUAAUCGAUUAUUACUUUUCCUGAAUUAAGGAAAAAUUUGGCGAAUGAUUAGAUUGGUUGAUAAUUUAGCCAACAGAAGGUGGUUCUGAACGUGUUGGUUAAUUGAUAGUUUGAUGCUAUUGUUUGAUCUGUUUCCAUCCAUGACGGUUCUAAAAUCUGAAUGUGUUGGAUUUUUCGUAGUUCGAUGCUAAUGUUUGAUGCGUUCCCGUCCAUGAUGAUUCUAAAUAUGCACGUGUUGGUUGAUUGAUAUCUUGAUGCUAUCGCUUAAUGUGUUUCCAUCUAUGAUGGUUUUAACAUGUGCAUAUUAGGAUCACCUGCAUCGGAAGUUGCUGUUGUGGCCGAUGACUGUUCAGAUGGAAGCGCAUAAAGAAUCAUAUUGACGCAAGAUAUGAAGAAUAUGAUGUACAUGGAAGGGAGAAAGUAGUGAAGUAAAACGAUCUUGGUUUCCAGUGGUAAAUGGUGAAAGCACAUUUACUUUCAGCAAGAGGUGGAUCCAGAAGAUAAUAGCAGCGUAGGGACUAUGACAUGGUCCGUAAAGCGGUUGUUGGGACAUAUAUUUGUACAAUAUACAGGCAAUACGCAACUAGCAGUUAACAUGAGA